GAGGCCCAACCCACGCCCCAAAACACCGAAAAAGGCCCUCAAGCCAAAAAGAGUGAAGCAGCCUUUGAAAAUUGAAACACCGUAACCUUCCUCCGCGGCCUUUCUCCUCAACCUCUGUCUCCUAAAUGUACAGGCAUUCUUUAGCUGGGUGCUGCUUUCUAGUUAAAAAUGUGUCAAAACUCUCAUCAUUAUAUAAAGCCGCGACCAAUUCCUCGACCUUUAUGCUAUCUCAUGUCAUGCAAAUGCACCCAAGAAGCUACAAGGUAGCUGCAGGGGAGUGUGUAUGGUCUCCAUGCAAUACUUUGUUGUGGCAUGGGUCCAACAUGGUUGGGUGUGGUGAUGCUCUUUCAAAAUGGGCACGAGCUAGGUACAUGAGCAAUACAUCCAUUGAACUGAAGCCGGACAGUGAUGUUGUCAGAUUUAAUAUUGGUGAGCUGCCUGGUAAAACUGGGACCUCAAAGAAAGGGAAGAAGAAAAUGAGACGAGUUAAAAUGUCUAGGAAAGCCAAAUUGAAUGAACUCAGGUUCUACAGACUAAAGGCAAAAAAGAAGAUGACAUCUCCGAAUCCAGAAGUUAGGAUUCGGUACAAACUUGAAAAGGCUAAAAGAAAGGAAGAAUGGUUGAUUGAGAAGCUGAGGAAAUUUGAUAUUCCUAAAGCCCCCACUGAAGCAUAUGAUCCUGAAAUUCUGACCGAGGAAGAGAAAUUUUACCUAAAGCGUACUGGUGAGAAAAAGAAGAAUUAUGUUCCAGUUGGGAGGCGAGGCGUUUUUGGGGGUGUUGUUCUCAACAUGCAUCUCCAUUGGAAGAAGCAUGAGACUGUAAAGGUUAUCUGCAAACCUUGCAAGGUUGGGCAGGUUUAUGAAUAUGCUGAAGAGCUUGCCCGGCUGAGCAAAGGCAUCAUGAUCGACAUAAAGCCUAACAACACCAUAAUAUUCUACCGAGGAAAGAACUAUGUACAGCCACAAGUUAUGUCACCCCCUGAUACCCUUUCCAAAAGCAAGGCUUUGGAAAAGUAUAGGUAUGAGCAGUCCCUGGAGCAUACAAGUCAGUUUAUUGAGAAAUUGGAGAAUGAGCUAGAAGAGUAUCAUAAACACCUUGCUCAGUACAGGAAACAGAAGGAAAAUCAACCCUGACAUUCUUUGGUUAACGCUAGGUGAUGGGAUAUUUAAUACUCUAUGGAAAGUGGAGCAUGUUGACACUUUUUUGAAGUGGGCCUUGGUUAAAUCCAAGAAGUUGAAAUCUCAGUUCACUGAGCUCUUCCAGCAAAGUGUGAGGAGGAAAUAGGCAUGUCCCUUCUAUCUAACAUGGAACUUGUGACAUCUUCUAUAGGAGCAGGGCUUUGAGGGUCCAAAAUAGACUUGGUGGUGGAGUUGGUCUUUCUCCACUGAACACUUCGUGAUUGGUUUGAGAAUCUUGGUUUGGUGGCUAGAGCUGAAGGCUCAUCAAGUUUAAGAUCUCUCAUCAUUGUUGGAUGCAACUCUUCAUCAGAGGCAAUGUGUGUUUGUAUUCCCAUAAGCUGGAUUUUCCUAAGGUCACCAGAUUAUUCAUUUUCCAUCACCUUUGAUCAUUGAAGGGGGAAUCAAAGCUGAUCAAUAAUGUAUAUUUACUCUUUGUUUUGUGUUGCUGUACGGCAAGAAGGCUUGAAUUAAACGUCAACCAUCUUGAUUCAAAAUUUGUUUUUACUUCAGAUUUUGGCAGCCAUUCAAAUUUUGAAGAAAAAGGACAUUGUAUUGAUGGGGAGGCAGCCUACUGAAUCAUGGGGACAGCCUACAAGUUUGCUUCUUCCAUUUGUUGCUGCCUGGAUGGAGAGCAGAGUUUGGUUGAUGGUUGGUAUGUAGCUGUUUUAUCCAAAAUGGGCUACAAGGUGGGGAUAGAGUGGAACAUCCUUGUAUUUCUUUUUCCUCCAUUGCUUUAGCUCCACACAGUUGUAGGCUUGUAGCUUGGCCUUCAAUAAAGAGAGGUUACUGACUCGCUAUGGAAGGGUUUUCAUUCCAUCCUCUGCCUGAUUACUUCUGUGGAAACCACUGGAGUUGUAUCCUUUUCCAAAUAUAAUACUAUAAUCGAUCACUUUGGGCUGA